UACGUAGGGGGCAAGCGUUGUCCGGAUUUAUUGGGCGUAAAGAGCGUGUAGGCGGCCAUGUAGGUCCGUUGUGAAAACUCGAGGCUCAACCUCGAGACGCCGAUGGAAACCAUGUGGCUAGAGUCCGGAAGAGGAGAGUGGAAUUCCUGGUGUAGCGGUGAAAUGCGCAGAUAUCAGGAAGAACACCAAUGGCGAAAGCAGCUUUCUGGGACGGUACUGACGCUGAGACGCGAAAGCGUGGGGAGCGAACAGG
rnacentral:rRNA from 1 species